rnacentral:rRNA from 1 species
UACGGGAGGCAGCAGUGGGGAAUAUUGCACAAUGGGCGCAAGCCUGAUGCAGCCAUGCCGCGUGUAUGAAGAAGGCCUUCGGGUUGUAAAGUACUUUUCAGUCGUGAGGAAGGUGUUAAGGUUAAUAACCUUAGCAAUUGACGUUAGCGACAGAAGAAGCACCGGCUAACUCCGUGCCAGCAGCCGCGGUAAUACGGAGGGUGCGAGCGUUAAUCGGAAUUACUGGGCGUAAAGGGCACGCAGGCGGUUAAUUAAGUUGGAUGUGAAAUCCCCGGGCUUAACCUGGGAAUGGCAUUCAAGACUGGUUAGCUAGAGUCUUGUAGAGGGGGUAGAAUUCCGAUGUGUAGCGGUGAAAUGCGUAGAGAUGUGGAGGAAUACCGGUGGCGAAGGCGGCCCCUGGACAAAGGCUGACGCUCAUGUGCGAAAGCGUGGGGAGCAAACGAGGGAUUAGAUACC